CUUGAGGGAAGGAUCUCUCCGAGGCGGGUAGGGUUGGCGCUCGGGUGCCCCGGCCCGGGAGCCCGCGGCCAUCUCCCGGGUCGGACCCGUCUGUCUCACUGCGGCAGAAGAGCGGGGACUGUAAACCUUGGAGGCUCGGCCUGACGGAAACCCUCAUUCAUUCUUUCAUUCAUUUAUUCGCAUCACCAUUUAGUUACUGUUGUUGGCGCUCGGAAUGCUACAGAGAACAAAAAAGGAAAUCUCUGUCUCCUUGGAAUUUAACAUUCAUAUGGAAGAGAAAGAAACAAGUCAAUCACGCUACCGGGUGCUGAUGACAGAUGUGAACACAAUAAAACAAGAAAAUGUGCUGGAGGCAGCCUGGAGAGCUCAAGGAAGGCCUUCCGGAGCAGAUCAGAACGUGAGGACCCUGAUUUUGUUUCAUUCUCUACUGCAUCCUGCAUGUAGCACAGUGCCUGGUGGCCCAUGGAUGCUCAAUAAUUGCUGAAACGAUGCACGAAUAGCAGAUGUGCAUUGCGCACCUGCUGGGCCUUGGCAGAUGCACAGAUGACUCUGUGGAGUUUCCUGCAAUCCAGCAGCAAGACAGACAGGAAACCCAGGACAGUGAGGGGUCAAACGCAGAACAUUGUGCUUGCAAGAUAGGUACGGCGCCACUGAGCUAAAUCCCCGGCCCUCUCCCACGGUUUCUAAAUUUCAAAACGUAUCUGCCUCCACAAAGGAUUUGGACGAGGGGUGGUAGUCCAGCAGGAACACCGAUGCCGUGAACAUCCGUGCCAGAUGUGUUUUCUAAAGACUGACACUAACUCCCAAUCCCAUGCCUUUUGAGAACCUUCCAGAAUUCCCCUCCUUUUGUAUCUGGUUAGGAUUGUGAAACCCUUGUAACCAGUAAAAAGAAGUGAAAAAAAACAUUGCACACAUCCUGAGGAAUUGCAGCUUCUGACUUGUUCGUUGAGACACAUACCUUCAGCACCUUGAGCCACCCUUCUAGACUGAAACACAAACCCUGUGGAGAGGCCCCAGAUAGGUGCCGGGUCAACAGUUCUAGCUGAGUCCUAGCUUAACAGUCAGUAUCAACCACAGGGCAGGGGAGAGGUCAGACCUUGAGAUAGCCCAGCCCCCUGCUGUGCAGGUGUCCUCUGAGCUGCGGCCCCAGACAGGCUGUCCCAGAGGACCCUUUCCAAGUGUUUCAGCUAUGUCUAGAUGCCCCCCCCAAAGCCUCAUUCAGUCAUAGGUGGGGUUUUUUCAGA